GACAGAGGUCCCGAGCGUUAGACGGAAUCACUGGGCUUAAAGCGUGUGUAGGCGGAAGGGUAAGUACCUUGUGAAAUCCCACGGCUCAACCGUGGAACUGCUUGGUAUACUGCUUUUCUUGAGCCACUUAGGGGCAACCGGAACAAAUGGUGGAGCGGUGAAAUGCGUAGAUAUCAUUUGGAACGCCAAUGGUGAAAACAGCUCGCUGGGGGUGUACUGACACUGAGACACGAAAGCCAGGGGAGCAAACGGG
rnacentral:rRNA from 1 species